rnacentral:rRNA from 1 species
GACGAACGCUGGCGGCGUGCUUAACACAUGCAAGUCGAACGGAAAGGCCCUGCUUUUGUGGGGUGCUCGAGUGGCGAACGGGUGAGUAACACGUGAGUAACCUGCCCUUGACUUUGGGAUAACUUCAGGAAACUGGGGCUAAUACCGGAUAGGAGCUCCUGCUGCAUGGUGGGGGUUGGAAAGUUUCGGCGGUUGGGGAUGGACUCGCGGCUUAUCAGCUUGUUGGUGGGGUAGUGGCUUACCAAGGCUUUGACGGGUCGCCGGCCUGAGAGGGUGACCGGCCACAUUGGGACUGAGAGACGGCCCAGACUCCUACGGGAGGCAGCAGUGGGGAAUAUUGCACAAUGGGCGGAAGCCUGAUGCAGCAACGCCGCGUGCGGGAUGACGGCCUUCGGGUUGUAAACCGCUUUCGCCUGUGACGAAGCGUGAGUGACGGUAAUGGGUAAAGAAGCACCGGCUAACUACGUG